CCUUCCCUAUGUUAUCUUCUUUUUCACGAGACCCUCCAUCUUUUGGGUGCCAUCUCCCACGUCGAUCCCAGAGACCUUCGGCCACCUCCAACCCUCUGUUUGUCACCGCCUCCGACGCCUAUCCCAGAGACCUUCCACCACCUCCGGUGCUCCGCUCGUUACCAUCUCCGGCUUUCCCUCUUCGAGCGUCGCACACAGAGCUAAACUCGCUCCAUAAAAAUCGCAUAUCCACUCCACAUCGCAGCACACCCUCUGACCUCCCAUCUACGGCAUGCCCGUUCGUCAUCAUCUCCGGCUGUCGUUGGUGAUGGCUGAUAGCGAUUUCGGUGUUGUGGAGGUUGGAAAAACACGAAGAAACAGCCCAAUCUUUAUGAUUUUCAGCUUGUGAACACAAGAUGCGAAGUCAAGCUUGCAUGUUGUUCGUUUGAUACAUCCUUUGCCAAGUAAUCCUUCAAAAAAAUUUCAAUUUUAUUUUGUAAGCACUUAUUUAAACAUUUGGAGAGUUUUUGGGCAACGAAGGAGAGGGGUUUGAAGUUCAGUGAAGACCCAGUGAUUGAUCGAAUACUCCAUGAAAUAAAGUCUGAUCUCAUAAGUGAAAGUUGCAAGACAGAUGAAGGAGGAUAGAGGAAGAAAGUACCCUCCACUGUGCAUACGACCCAUGGCGACGGAGAUGGAGAAUUGGCCACUGCUUGCUGACGCUCUGAGGACGGCUGCAAAACCCUAAUCCAGAAUGGGGAAGAGAAGGCUAGACUUGCGGCAAUUUAUAUUUUUUGUUAAUUUGGUAUUCAAUCUCUUGGAACUUGAUUGGAUGGACCUUUGUUAAUUUGGUACCGGACCAAAUUAUGUAAGAAGAGCAUUGGGCUUUUCUUUCAUUACUACUAAAAGACAAAAUUUCACAA